UACGUAGGGUGCAAGCGUUGUCCGGAAUUAUUGGGCGUAAAGAGCUCGUAGGCGGUCUGUCGCGUCUGCUGUGAAAACUCAGGGCUUAACCCUGAGCUUGCAGUGGGUACGGGCAGACUAGAGUGCGGUAGGGGAGACUGGAAUUCCUGGUGUAGCGGUGAAAUGCGCAGAUAUCAGGAGGAACACCGGUGGCGAAGGCGGGUCUCUGGGCAGUUACUGACGCUGAGGAGCGAAAGCGUGGGGAGCGAACAGG
rnacentral:rRNA from 1 species